rnacentral:rRNA from 1 species
UACGUAGGGUGGCGAGCGUUGUCCGGAAUUAUUGGGCGUAAAGGAGCUCGUAGGCGGUCUGUCGCGUCGUGCUGUGAAAACCCGAGGCUCAACCUCGGGCCUGCAGUGGGUACGGGCAGACUAGAGUGCGGUAGGGGAGAAUGGAAUUCCUGGUGUAGCGGUGGAAUGCGCAGAUAGUCAAGGAGGAACACCGAUGGCGAAGGCA